rnacentral:rRNA from 1 species
AUUAAACGCUGGCGGCAUGCCUUACACAUGCAAGUCGAACGGCAGCACGGGGGCAACCUUGGUGGCGAGUGGCGAACGGGUGAGUAAAGCAUCGGAACGUGCCCUGGAGUGGGGGAUAACGUAGCGAAAGUUACGCUAAUACCGCAUAUUCUGUGAGCAGGAAAGCAGGGGGAUCGCAAGACCUUGCGCUCUGGGAGCGGCCGAUGUCGGAUUAGCUAGUUGGUGGGGUAAAGGCCUACCAAGGCGACGAUCCGUAGCGGGUCUGAGAGGAUGAUCCGCCACACUGGGACUGAGACACGGCCCAGACUCCUACGGGAGGCAGCAGUGGGGAAUUUUGGACAAUGGGCGAAAGCCUGAUCCAGCCAUGCCGCGUGAGUGAAGAAGGCCUCGG